CAAGGUAAACUUUUCCCUACAAUUUGCAUUCACAAUUCAAGGUUGCAAAUAUUAGGAACAUUGUGGCUGGAUUCAAGGACAACAAAAUACUGCCCUUUUUGAGUUCAUAGAUUCCGCCCUGAAACAGAGUCAACAAAACAACAGCGCGAAUUCCCAUGAUGCAGUUCGACCAAGCGACGCCAGCCAGACGCCAGACGCCAGGAUCCACCCCUAAACAAUCCUAACCUCUUUGUCUUUGUCUUUGUGUGUCUUGUCAGUUUGUCUUUUUGCGACGUUUGUUUCUCGCGUUAUUACUAUAUCAGAGUUUUUAGACAUAAAGUAUUCAUAUUGAAGUUAGUUUUUGUCUAUUUUCAAUUUCUUUGUUCAUAGUUAAUUCCAUAGUGUUCGAUUUUAGAAGACUAACUGCAACAAAAGUGCUUGUGAGCCAACGAAACAUAAAGUAGAACCUCGAUAGUUCGACACUCCCUGUAGUUCGACACAGGCCGUGAUGACAAGACAUGGCAUCAGUGGCCGAUGACGGGUUCACCAAGGUUAAAAACUAGAGCAUUCUUAGUGUUUUCGUGCAUGGAAAAACUCAAUAGGAAAAGAGGAGUUAUUGGUGCACAGAAUAGGAACAUCAGGCUGAGGUUAUGCGACAGUAAAUAAUGUAUAAGUAAAAUGUCACUUAAUUUAACUCAUGUUCUAAUUUUCAAGUUUGUUUUAUACUUUAUAUUUUCAUAAAAUAAAUUUACUAUAACCAAUGUCACUUGCUACAUUUUAUUUAUACCCCCACAAAUAGUGAUAUUUUGGCUAUGUUUGAAGAACUGUUUUGAACUUUUAAACUUUUUGUUGAUCACUGAGAUGUCUUUUCUAAAGCAGGGUCUGGUGUAAUUUGAUGAGGCCUUAUUAAAAAUUAAAUGCUCUCACCCUUCACUCACAAGCUUGGCAGAAUAGGCUUAUUAUUUUUAACCUAACUCAGUUAUCCUAUACAACAUUUAAAUAAAGUGUUAUAGCAUCAUUUAUAGGUUUCUAGCUGCCCCUCCCCUUGGGCUUCACA